rnacentral:tRNA from 1 species
UCCAAUGUGGCAUAGUGGUUUGAGUGCUGGAUUACAACUCUGGAGGCCAGGGUUUGAUUCCCAACUUGGCCA